rnacentral:rRNA from 1 species
AUGAACGCUGGCGGCGUGCCUAAUACCUGCAAGUCGAGCGAACAGACGAGGAUCUUGCUCCUCUGACGUUAGCGGCGGACGGGUGAGUAACACGUGGAUAACCUACCUAUAAGACUGGGAUAACUUCGGGAAACCGGAGCUAAUACCGGAUAAUAUAUUUAACCGCAUGGUUCAAUAGUGAAAGACGGUUUUGCUGUCACUUAUAGAUGGAUCCGCGCCGCAUUAGCUAGUUGGUAAGGUAACGGCUUACCAAGGCAACGAUGCGUAGCCGACCUGAGAGGGUGAUAGGCAACACUGGAACUGAGAAACGGUCCAGACUCCUACGGGAGGCAGCAGUAGGGAAUCUUCCGCAAUGGGCGAAAGCCUGACGGAGCAACGCCGCGUGAGUGAUGAAGGUCUUCGGAUCGUAAAACUCUGUUAUUAGGGAAGAACAAAUGUGUAAGUAACUAUGCACGUCUUGACGGUACCUAAUCAGAAAGCCACGGCUAACUACGUG